UCCUGUUUCUGGUUGAUCUUGGUAUCAUGUUGCAAAUGGCAAAACCUGUGACCGGAAUGGUACUCAGUUUUUGAAAUUUGAAGCAUGAUGUCAAGUACAACGGAAGUUGGA
rnacentral:pre_miRNA from 1 species